rnacentral:rRNA from 1 species
UCUGAUGAGAAAGGCUUUGGCUUAACCGAAGAAGCGCAUCGGAAAACGGGCGACUUGAGUGCAGAAGAGGACAGUGGAACUCCAUGUGUAGCGGUGGAAUGCGUAGAUAUAUGGAAGAACACCAGUGGCGAAGGCGGCUGUCUGGUCUGCAACUGACGCUGAGGCUCGAAAGCAUGGGUAGCGAAC